rnacentral:piRNA from 2 species
UAACAUAUCAAAAUUGUUGAAGUGGUC